rnacentral:misc_RNA from 1 species
UCCGGUUUGGCACCGGCGGUCUCCCAUGAGUCCCCGGCAUUACCCGCUGGCAACAUGGAACAGGGGUUGCGCUCGUUGCGCCACUUAAGGCAACACCUCACGGCACGAGCUGACGACAGCCAUGCAGCACCUGUGCCGGCUCCCGAAGGAGCACCGUGUUUCCACGGCUUUACCCGGCAUGUCAAGCCCUGGUAAGGUGGGGAUGACGUCCUGGAAGCAAGCU